ACAUCUCUGCAGUGUCAAAGUCAGAUGAAGGCUUCUACAAGUGUGAACAUUCAGGAAAACAAUCACCACAGAGUUGGAUGGCUGUUAAAUCUGCUCCAGGAGCUCAAAGUUCUUCUUUCCCUGUUCCUCUGAUUGCUGGACUUCUUUGUGGGGUCAUACUCAUCGUCCUCCUGCUCUUGUUGUAUCGAUGCAGACCACGGCCCAAGAAUUCAUGCUUUCACAGGUCGACUCCAGUCAGA